ensembl:lncRNA
UUUAUAUAGAAUUUAUAAAUAUAAUAAGAUAAUCAUUAUGCAUAAUGCAAGAAAAAAUAAACUGCAUGAUCAUUUAAAUAAAAUUGUAUUACAGUUUGGAUCACUUUUUAAAUUUCUUAUUAGAAAUUAGAUUUAGUAACAUUAUUUUACAUUAAUGAGAAAAAAAUAAAAAAUAUAUAGAUUUCUUUUUAAAUUAAAUAAUAUAUACAGGUAAUUUUUGUGGUCCACAAAAUAGGAUUAUGUAUAUUGCAUUACAAUUUUUUUUGUUUGUUUUGUUUUUAUUAAUUUUGUGGUUUUGGGGUGAAAUAUGACGUGUUCUGUUUGUGAUUCACUGGCAUUAUGUAGGUCCUUAGGCAAGUUAUAUGUAUUAAAUGGGAUAUUCAAUGUUUCUGUGGUAGAAGUGCUAUAAGAAAGAAAUUCAUCAACUCGAGGAGGUCUUUAGGUUUGGCUGAAGCCAUGAUUUGGUUGGCACAGGUGCUUAAUAUGGACUUUUAAGCAUUAUUUAAGAGCACUAGAGGACAGGCUGACUUCAUUUUACAUAGUGCCUUCUCACAUAACAGCUCAAACAUUUCCUCUCUGUGCAAGUUUGCUUUCUUAAAAACAGAUUAAGCAUUAACAGUUGAUUCAAAAUGAAAAACCUGCUGCAUGUAAUCUGCCAAAAUAAUCUGAUUUUAUUCCGUUUUAUUUAAUAUAUCAGACAGUCACUAAAACUAUGAAGGAACUUAAUAAUCUUAUCUUUCCCAGACUCAGAUAUGCUUGUUGAAUGCAUCUUUUAUUCAUCACUAAACAGACCAUCACACUGUCAUGAUAUUUUAUAGCUGAAGGUUUCUGAUCUGCCACAUAUUUCACAAUCAAACAGCUGGUUACGUGUGUGCCUGUUCAACCCGUUUAGUAAAAGUGUGGAAUAGGGCGAUGUUUCCUCAAAACCUUCAUGAAAUAAACUGCUAAUGCACCUUGUUAUGCCUUAAUAACCAUCUCUAUACUCAGGGCUUUUUUAUGUAAAUGUCCUCAUAACUAAUAGUAAAGAUUAUUUCGCUGCAUGACUGCAAGCAAUCUGCUAGACGACUCCUGACUCACAUUAUUGUAUUCUUGUCUUUCAUCAGCUGUUCUGGAGCUGUCUUCGAUUUUUAAUAUUGUCAUAACCACAUCUUUCAAAUUAUGCAUAUGGCUGCAGUAUUUUUUGCUAUUAUAGUUGCUGUAGAGAAGAUAUAAUAAUGCAGGGUUCCUCACCUGUGCCAUCCAAAAUGUUCAUAUUUCCCCAGUUUUAGUUGUUUUAGUAUCUUUUUCAUAUUUUAUGGUGAUAAACUCUGUUUAUAUUCCAGACCCUUUCCUCCAUUCGAUUUCUGACACAUGCAAAUGAUUUUCAGGUUGUACUUUUGUCGAAAAAGAAGAUAAUGAACAAUGAGUUCUUAUCUUUGGACGUAUUUAGCCAGUCAAUGUUAUCUUGUAUAAAUGUAAAUGAACAUUAGUGCUCCUUUGUACCUUUCGGAAAAUUGUCAUGUUUUUUUCACAAAUGAAAACUUCACUAAUGUAUAAAUGUUUCCGUGUUUCUUAUGAUGUGGCAGACUGUAGUAGUGUUUCUGUUUGUCCUUUCUUUUCUGUUUAACACAUACCAUGUCUGUCCAUCUGAUUAAAAUACCAUGUAUCAGAAUUAAAAUCCCUCUGAACUACAUUGAGUGAUGAAGAAACUUAAUUUUACACUUCAUUAUAAGCACUUAUUUCAUUGUUUUAUUGAUUUUCAUUUGUAUGUCAGGUAAACAUAUGAAUAAACAUUGAAAUUAUUUUUUUAA